rnacentral:sRNA from 1 species
UUUUUUGUUCAAACUUGAUUAACUUGGAUCAGUAAGACUUUGUUCUAUGACAUGUUUGAGAUGAUGUACUCACUGCCUGUGCUGGCAGUGAGGACUGCAUUGUAUGGCUGUUCUGGAGACAUCACUUUCUGGUGGUUAAGCUAGGCAGGAUAUGAUGGAUUGACUGAAAACAUGUUUGCAGGGCACAGAUGAGCUGUGAUUUGUGUGUAUGUGUGUGUGAGUGUGUACAUGGAUCAAUCAUAUGUGUGAUUUAGACUUGAUAAUUAAUUGGAAUCACUACAGGAGAUUGAUCAAAGAGGAUUUGACAGUUUAAAGUUGUGAGUGUGAUGCAGUGUGCUGAGCUUGCGGUUAUGUGCACUUGUAGAAGACGAUUGCAGUAGAUGUAUAUUUUAAUGAACAUUUGAAUUGUUUUUCUAGAAGUAUAGUUUGAUUAUUUACAAGAACUUUUAAAAGUAUUGUUUGAUUAAAAGAACAUUUGGAAAUGUAGUUUAGUUUAAAGUACCUUGUAAAAUUUUUGAGGUUUGAAGUACUUUUGAUAAGUAAAUAACUUUAUGAUAGGCUG